rnacentral:rRNA from 1 species
UACGGAGGGGGCGAGCGUUAUUCGGAAUUAUUGGGCGUAAAGGGCGCGUAGGCGGCUGUACAAGUCAAAGGUGAAAUCCCUCGGCCCAACUGAGGAACUGCCUUUGAAACUGUACGGCUUGAGGCCGGGAGGGGGUAGCGGAAUUCCCAGUGUAGCGGUGAAAUGCGUAGAUACUGGGAGGAACACCAGUGGCGAAGGCGGCUACCUGGACCGGUUCUGACGCUGAGGCGCGAAAGCGUGGGUAGCAAACAGG